UACGGAGGGUGCGAGCGUUGUCCGGAAUCAUUGGGCGUAAAGCGCACGUAGGCGGUUCGUUAUGUCGGAUGUGAAAGCCCUUGGCUUAACCGAGGAAGUGCAUCCGAAACUGGCGAGCUAGAGUACUAAAGAGGAUCGCGGAAUUCCCGGUGUAGAGGUGAAAUUCGUAGAUAUCGGGAGGAACACCGGUGGCGAAGGCGGCGAUCUGGGUAGAUACUGACGCUGAGGUGCGAAAGCGUGGGGAGCAAACAGG
rnacentral:rRNA from 1 species